rnacentral:rRNA from 1 species
GUCGAGCGAACGGACGAGAAGCUUGCUUCUCUGAUGUUAGCGGCGGACGGGUGAGUAACACGUGGAUAACCUACCUAUAAGACUGGGAUAACUUCGGGAAACCGGAGCUAAUACCGGAUAAUAUUUUGAACCGCAUGGUUCAAAAGUGAAAGACGGUCUUGCUGUCACUUAUAGAUGGAUCCGCGCUGCAUUAGCUAGUUGGUAAGGUAACGGCUUACCAAGGCAACGAUGCAUAGCCGACCUGAGAGGGUGAUCGGCCACACUGGAACUGAGACACGGUCCAGACUCCUACGGGAGGCAGCAGUAGGGAAUCUUCCGCAAUGGGCGAAAGCCUGACGGAGCAACGCCGCGUGAGUGAUGAAGGUCUUCGGAUCGUAAAACUCUGUUAUUAGGGAAGAACAUAUGUGUAAGUAACUGUGCACAUCUUGACGGUACCUAAUCAGAAAGCCACGGCUAACUACGUGCCAGCAGCCGCGGUAAUACGUAGGUGGCAAGCGUUAUCCCGGAAUUAUUCGGGCGUAAAGACGCGCGUAGGCGGUUUUUUAAGUCUGAUGUGAAAGCCCACGGCUCAACCGUGGAGGGUCAUUGGAAACUGGAAAACUUGAGUGCAGAAGAGGAAAGUGGAAUUCCAUGUGUAGCGGUGAAAUGCGCAGAGAUAUGGAGGAACACCAGUGGCGAAGG